AAAGUACUCCCUCCGUCCGGAAAUACUUGUCCUAGAAAUGAAUGACAUUCAUUUCUAGGACAAGUAUUUCCGGACGGAGGGAGUAUAAU
rfam:Hordeum vulgare subsp. vulgare, WGS project CAJW01000000 data, contig: morex_contig_43879